CAUUUUGAAACGUUGCCAGAAUGGUGCGAGACACAAAACACGUGGAAAAUAGUGGCGGCGCCAUGGCCGUUUUGGAACCCCAAUCGAUCUAUUUCUUAACACUUCUCUUUUCGUUUCCUAUCAUCCUUGGCACGCGGAAGACAUCUUUUGUACUUUCGUUAUCGAAUACAAACUCUUUAAGCUCUGUUUGUCUUCCAUCUAAGAGGAUUCAAGGAAAAAGAAAGAGAAAGUUGUCCUUUAUCUCAGAACCCUGCAAUCUCGAGCAGACAACUGUACGCCGAUUGAAAUGUGUUUGCUCGCCUAGUGCUCUUGAAAGUAGAUGUUAUGAAGAUUGUCGACAGAAACUCUUUUUAUUUGUCCAAUUGCCUACCAAAGAUGCAGGGAAAAAACAAAACAAUACUCAGAGUCUGAAAGGUCCCGAUUUAUAUCAAAGUUUAGACUGGAAAAAGUUUGGACCCAACUUUUGUUCCUCCUACUGGGUUUCAUCACAGUGAUAUCGGUCGUGUACAUACUACUUAUUGGAUGUAAUGGGACAUGUAAAAGGGACGGCGUUAUUACGAAAAUGACGUAUAUAUUUGAUUUCACGGCGUCAAGGUUUCUGCUGUCGCCUAGUUGCCGAUGAGGAUGAAACCAGGCAACAUUUGCUCGACCGGGCCCAUAUUUUCUAUGGAAUAGAGUUUCAGUUUUUGUUGAACGCCACUGACGAUGAAGAAAGUAUCCCACCUGCACGUAGUUCAGGCUACGACAUGCUAGAAGGGGGGAGUUUUAGGCUACGAGGAGUGGAGAAUAAAAUGCCGGAAUCUAUCAAUAGAAUUCGACCAUCAGACUAGUAACACGCGAACGCACAAUGUGGAAAACUGAGCUUGCCCGAUCACAAAAAUAAUGCACCACAGCGUUGGUUGGUGUUAGCCGGUUUGCUAGGCGUGAAUUGACGGUGAAAUACCGGACACCCGCCCGCUCCCACGUUUCGAUUCUCCUAUUCCCCAGCCGAAAAAUUACGCGGGUCUUAUCACGUUGAACACACACUCGGCAUUUUAUUUUCUAUUUCGUUCUUAUCGAUUUUCGUGUGCUUUUUUUUUUGUUAUUUAAUUUCUUUUUUCAAUACUUUUCGU